CCUACGGGAUGCUGCAGUGGGGAAUAUUGGGCAAUGGGCGCAAGCCUGACCCAGCAACGCCGCGUGAAGGAAGAAGGCUUUCGGGUUGUAAACUUCUUUUCUCAGGGACGAAGAAAGUGACGGUACCUGAGGAAUAAGCCACGGCUAACUACGUGCCAGCAGCCGCGGUAAUACGUAGGUGGCAAGCGUUAUCAGGAUUUACUGGGUGUAAAGGGCGUGUAGGCGGGACUGCAAGUCAGAUGUGAAAACCACGGGCUCAACCUGUGGACUGCAGUUGAAACUGUAGUUCUUGAGUACUGGAGAGGCAGACGGAAUUCCUAGUGUAGCGGUGAAAUGCGUAGAUAGUAGGAGGAACACCAGUGGCGAAGGCGGUCUGCUGGACAGCAACUGACGCUGAGGCGCGAAAGCGUGGGGAGCAAACAGGAUUAGAUACCCUUGUAGUC
rnacentral:rRNA from 1 species